UGCAGCUAGGCACCGCCCAAUCUCCGUACCAAGACGCUGUAAAAAAGGUACUAAAAAGAAGAGAAACAAAAUAGUCAGCGUCUGAUUAUGUUGACGUUUGGUUUGGCUUUUACUUUUGCUUGCUGGAUUUCUUGGUUUGUCUGUCUGCCGGAUGGCACCAAUUGGUGCAAACUUUUACAACGCACCACGUGUUUGAUGAAAUACCAGACUGAGGUGAAAUGAAAGACGGUGUGACUGUGACUCACAACUUCAACAAACAUCAUUAAAUUAGCUUUGACAUCAUUGACACAUGGCGUCUAACCAGUCAGAUCUUUGAUUAAAUAUCGUGAACAGAUAUGUUUAUUUUUAGCCUAAAGGUUUUUGUUUGUUUCAUGGUGGUUAAGAACAAUUGGCCACCAUCCCCCAUGUCACCCCUAGUCUAGUCCCGAUGCUAGACUCAAGCCAUUUUUUCAAUAGAAAUGGGGUUAGCCUUCAAAAGAAUACUUUUUCUCUAGUCCAAGGGUUCAGUCAUGCUUUGGCGUUUGUGGUGGCUUUUGUGACAAUCGAGUCUUGUGGUGACUCAUUUUCUCUAAGUACUUAGUGACUUUGGUCUA